UCCAUCCAUACAUAGAUACGUCAUCAUACUACAUACAUACAUACACCCUCAACAUCCAUCCACUAUUCCCAUCACCAACAACAUGAAACUCAUAAGGAGAGAAAAACUAAGCUAAGAGCAGGGCAUGCAUGUGCAAUGAAAGAUGUGACCACCACCAUUAUCAUAUCAUUAACUGGUGCAACAACCACCCUGCGAAGUAACAAACACUUCUAAGACAAACCAACUUAUUCUGCUGCUCUCACAUUCUGCUCCUUGGUAGAAAACAAAGGAGAGAAAUUGGAGCUUCGGUGAUAAGGAAAAGAACUUCUUAAUGGUGCUUGUUGGCAAGGUUGCAUUGCUUUCUGACCUCCCCCUUUGAGCCAGUAAGUGGAUUGUUCUCAGAAAGAAUGGUUAUGGCUCUUGAGAAUUCCUUAAAGAAGUAGUUUUGGUUUUUGGCCAUUUUCUUGACAUAAGGUCUGGUCCUCUUGUCUAGGGCAACUUGGUGAUCAACAAUCAAUAAGCCCUUGUUGUCCAAGAUGUUCCUGUAGUAGUUGUUGUCUAGGAUCAUGGGUGUGCCUCUGUCAUUUCUCACAUACUGGACGGCUUUGGGGUCUGGGAUUGCAUCUGGGCACUUGUGGAGCAUGUGUUCAACAUGGGCAGGGUUCAAUGCAGGGUCAACCUCGGGGUAGAGCCGGUGCACCAGUUUCACGCAGUGGGUUCUACCAACACUAUGAGCUCCUAUUGAAAACAAACCAACCCAUAGUUAGGACUCAACAACAAUAAAUCGCUAGGUUAUUCAAACUUCAUCAUAUCAUGAGUACUUAUUAUAUGCUUAAGGUAAUUUAUGAGUUGGAAUAUCAUUUCAGUAUGAUCAUUUCCUUUCGAAUCUUUGUCUGGAAACUAUGGAGUAAAAAUUUAAAGGGUAAAUGAUUUCUACCGUCUUCCAAUGAGUUUCUGCUUGUAGAACAACUAAAAAAUUUUCUAGUAUCAUUUGAUUGUGCAUGUAAUACUUGAUAAUGAGUUAAAUACAAGUUUCAGUCACUUUGAUUUAGCUC
rnacentral:lncRNA from 1 species